rnacentral:rRNA from 1 species
CGGACGGGUGAGUAACGCGUGAGAAUCUGGCUCUAGGUCUGGGACAACCACUGGAAACGGUGGCUAAUACCGGAUGUGCCGAGAGGUGAAAGGUUAACUGCCUAGAGAUGAGCUCGCGUCUGAUUAGCUAGUUGGAAGUGUAAUGGACUCCCAAGGCGACGAUCAGUAGCUGGUCUGAGAGGACGAUCAGCCACACUGGGACUGAGACACGGCCCAGACUCCUACGGGAGGCAGCAGUGGGGAAUUUUCCGCAAUGGGCGAAAGCCUGACGGAGCAAUACCGCGUGAGGGAGGAAGGCUCUUGGGUCGUAAACCUCUUUUCUCAGGGAAGAACAAAAUGACGGUACCUGAGGAAUAAGCAUCGGCUAACUCCGUGCCAGCAGCCGCGGUAAUACGGAGGAUGCAAGCGUUAUCCGGAAUGAUUGGGCGUAAAGCGUCCGCAGGUGGCUAUGUAAGUCUGCUGUUAAAGAGUCUAGCUCAACUAGAUAAGAGCAGUGGAAACUACAAGGCUAGAGUACGUUCGGGGCAGAGGGAAUUCCUGGUGUAGCGGUGAAAUGCGUAGAGAUCAGGAAGAACACUGGUGGCGAAGGCGCUCUGCUAGGCCGUAACUGACACUGAGGGACGAAAGCUAGGGGAGCGAAUGGGAUUAGAUACCCCAGUAGUC